rnacentral:rRNA from 1 species
UAGGGAAUCUUCCGCAAUGGACGCAAGUCUGACGGAGCAACGCCGCGUGAGUGAAGAAGGAUUUCGGUUCGUAAAACUCUGUUGUUAGAGAAGAACAGCGCAUAGAGUAACUGUUAUGCGUGUGACGGUAUCUAACCAGAAAGCCACGGCUAACUACGUGCCAGCAGCCGCGGUAAUACGUAGGUGGCAAGCGUUGUCCGGAUUUAUUGGGCGUAAAGCGAGCGCAGGCGGUCAAUUAAGCCUGAUGUGAAAGCCCCCGGCUCAACCGGGGAGGGUCAUUGGAAACUGGUUGACUUGAGUGCAGAAGAGGAGAGUGGAAUUCCAUGUGUAGCGGUGAAAUGCGUAGAUAUAUGGAGGAACACCAGUGGCGAAGGCGACUCUCUGGUCUGUAACUGACGCUGAGGCUCGAAAGCGUGGGUAGCAAACAGG